UUGCCACCAGUAGAUACCAGUGCAGUGAUGUGGAAUUACUACCAAAUGCUUCAAACAGUGACAUGGGCAUCUCCUUUGUUCUUCCCCAGGCAGCUGCCCAGAGGCCAUUAAUCUGUGACAGGAAAGAGGAGGACUUGGCAGUGAUUUGACUUGUACAUUGACACAAGGCACAUGAACAACUGUUUAUUUCCAGAGUCUUCCUGGACUACUACAAAUGCAAGCAUGAAGUAGUCCUUCUUCAUCAGAAUUAGUCAUAAUGAUUGAGAAGAGAUCUGAAUUUUUACAUUGCUCCUGCCCCUGUUGAUUUUUUGAUGAAUAGACAUUUUCCUGAGGAAGAAACCUAAGAUAUACCAAUCAACUCCACUGUUGAGCCCUAUAUGUCUCUCUCUUUCCCUAAAUGAAGUAAAUGUAUUGAAAAGUUGGUGGAUAUCAAAUUCUUGGCUCUCAAAUCAAAUACACGAACUACAAGUGUGAGAAAAUGAGGCAGGAGCUGAAAACGCUUCCCCACAGGCCUGUGCCCAACAGAGGCAGUCUGGAGCAAGGACCCAGUUUUGCCUCUCAGUUGCCCCCUGCUUGGCUGGUGUCAUGCUGGAGGUAGACCUGUCAUCCUCUGAGUGCGUGCGUGUAGGAUCAAUGUGACUUCAGAAGGUUCUGGAGCUGUGCUAAGAAAGGCUUAUCCACUUUUAUGGCUUCCAAAGAGACAUUGUAUGUGUGUCUAUGUGUAUUUUUAUAUAUGUAUGUGCAUGUGGUGUGAAGAUGACUAAAAAUGCAUUUGCAUUUUUUGCAGUACAUUUAUAUACUUGAGAGAAGCUGGGAUAUGGAUAACUGAAAAUGCCCAGACUUUUGACAGCCUCGUCCUUGUUAACUGCCCAGCCUGCAGAGGUGGACAGCAGUCAAGGCACGGUAUAUUGUUUUGUGACACUAGGUUAUCCUUUGGUACUCUCCCGUUCGUUCUGUCACGGGCAGUGAGGCAUCUCCCUGAGCACAGGAGGAAAAGAGGUGCUGGGUCACAGCUCUGGCUCCUGCUGCCCUCCACCCCACAAGGGGGGAUCCCCUGCAGCACUGUCUCACCAGAGGUUGCCUGGGUACUGCUUUUCUGCAUCUGUGUCAUCUCUCUGCCACAUAUAUCUUCUGUCUUCCUAAUGCACAGAAUAAUUUCCAAUUAGAGUCUCUGACCCUCGUUAGUUGAUUUCCUCAGCAGAUCACACUUGGGAGAGUUUGGGAACGCUUGCACUUGCAGUGGACUUUAUUAAAGAUGAAUUAAUACAGCUGAAUUGAGUUUCAGUGAGUUCCAGUUUCAAUCUGAAGCACUGUGUUUUGGCACUACAUAGAAGAAUCAGUUUAUUUUAAUGCUCACUAAAGCUAAACUAAGACAAUGUCUAGGUCUUUUGCUCAGAAGAUACAGAUUACAUGGAAAAAGGUAAUAAACCAGUAGAGAUUUUACAUCUCUCCAUGAAAAUUUUAGCAUCGUAAGAAUGCAUUUGAAAUUUAUAAAGUUUAGAAGCUUUGCAUACACAAAUGCUCCGAAACACACCCCCUUCCUUUUCAAGAGCAUUCUGUCUCAUUCAUUUUCUUAAUACUCAGGUUGGUUAUUUAUUCUGGGAAAUCUCAUUUAUGUGACUUUCUGUUGCUGUGAACUAGCAGUUAGUCAAAGUUUGCUAGAAUUUCAUGACCAGCUUUGAAUAGGAUUUCAGUUUUUAAACAUGUAAAUGCCUGGAUUUAGCAUUGAGAUUUUUGUCUCAAUUCCAUCACACAGUUCUUUUUUUCAUAGUGACCAAGAUCAGAUGUUCAUCAAGAAAGCCAGAAGGCUUUUGAAAACAGAUGUAAGAGGACUCAAGUCUGUUGGGAGAGGUGAGUGUGAGGACAGUACACGGGAGGAUGUGGAAUAACUGGAGUUCUUAUGGUUGAUGCAGUGAAACUCCUCCAGCAAUUGCUGAAGACCAACAACUCUGAACCAAUAUGAGAAAUGGGGCAGGGAUGCAGAAAAAAGCUCUGUUUUGUGUUAAUAUAUUUUAGCUUGUCUUGUUGCAUUUGCCUAACUUUUCAUAUCAGGAGAUAUGGGGAAAAUGGAUAUUGCUGCAAAGGGGAAUUUUAGAUACGUCAAGGUGAAGAGCCAAGUUCUUCAUUAAGAAGAGGAGAUAGGAAACAGUAUGCAAGACUCAGACUCCACUAGAAGGACUUUAGUAGCCUAUCUGGUUAAUUUCUGUAGCUCAAAAAACCUCCAUUAAUUGUAUGGUUUGUUCUGACUCAUACCAGGACAUGGAGAGAUAAUGGUCUCUUUUUAAAAGCCUAAGGAACUGUUGCAUAUUUUGGUUACCUAUAAGACACUUCAGAAGGAAAAAAACUCAAUUGGCUUUGAAGAAGUGAAGACAAUCACAGCUGAAAAUAAUGUAACUAAAAGCAAGAGACUUUAGUUAAAAGUAUGUGUUCUUAUAACAAGGAACAGGUAUUAUAGUCCCCCAUGUUUCAGUUUCAUUUGCAAAAUCAAACAGAAAGCAGUUUUUUACAAGUUUUUCCAAGAACUGGCAGAUUGAAGACAUGAAAAAUUGGAGCUAGUGACUUACAUGGGGAAAGAAUUUGCAUAAGACAUCACCUCCAUUCUCCAAAACUCAUAUUGAUUACAAAGUUGUGAAAAGUACAUCACCCUAUCAUAACUGCCAGCACAAAUAAAAAAUAAAGAAAGAAAUAUCCAGUGAAUAACAACUAAAAUUCCACCACUGAACAAUCAAUGAACGAUGUCUACCAUUAGGUGAUUUAUGAAAUAUUCUUUACUACGCCAGGUCAUUAGAAAAUGUGAAAAUUGUUUUAACUUGGAUUUCUUUUCCUGAAAUAAAUCAUACAUGCUGUAUAGAAAGACCACUUCCUGCUAGGAGUUGAGAGACUAAUGAAAUACUCAGUCAGAGGUCAGACAGGUAAAUUGGUAUCUUAUAGAGAGUACAACAUACUUUUUGCUUUUUCUUGAUGGUAUUUUAAAAGUCUAUUUCAGGAAUCUGUAGAAGUACAUACAUAGUAAUGGUGAAGGUAUACUUUUAUAGAUAUUUAGUGAGGUAAAGAAUAAUCAUUGGAAAGCAAUGGAUUCUGGAAAGAGAAUGAACAUUUUUGGUUUUUAAGUAUGCUGAACUAUCAUUGGCAAUGCUACAAAGUAUUUUGUUAAAAAAACCCUCCCUAGAACUUACAUGAAUUUAUCUGGAAGCUUUCAUAAAGAACAAACAGAAUGGAAGUCUGAGGCAAAAUAAAGUUGUGCAGAAAAGCUUUUGAAGGAGUCCAUUACAUCAUAUAACACUUCACUAUUUUACAUAUUUUCUACAAGCGUCCAAUUUUAGCUAAUAAUUCAGUUCAAUCUCCAGGUCAAGCUGAUACUAAAUCUAUUCUGUUUCAGUGCAAAGAAAGACAAAGCAAAAAUCCCCUGCUCAUCAGCUCCUGUAGGGCUGAAAAAGUUUCAAAGUUCAAAAGUCACUGAGUUUCUUGCGAUGCGAUAAUAUAUCUGGGAGAUAUAAAGUAAUGAACUCAUACAUGCCAUUACAGGAGGUAAUGUUUUCCAAAAGAUCAUCAGAUUUGGACUAUUACUUGUAAAGGAAGAGUAUAAGGGGAAGUAAUUUAGGUAACAAAACAGUUGACACAGGGAAAAAAAUGAUGAAGUUUAAGGCAAUGUAAAGAGUGGCAAACGGUUGGUGGUGGGGUUUUUUUGUUUGUUUGUUUGUUUGUUUUUUGUUUGUUUGUUUUUAAAGGGAAAAACUCCUUAUUUUCAGUGAAAUUAAGCAGCUAGCAAAAGGAAAGAAACAAAACAGAUACUAGAGAGGAAAACAGAGUAAAUGAAAUGAAACGGGUAGAACAGCAGAAGCACUAAUUUAUUUAUUACAGCAUGGCAUUUAAUUUAUUUUUGAUUUUCUACUUUAAUAAAGUUUUUGAUAGAUAUCUCAACUCUAUGGCUGUAUAUGCCAUAUAGGAAUUCUUUCAUGUUAUGACAGGGAAACAUAAGGAUGAUUAGGUGGCUUUGGUUCCCAGUGUCAUCAGUAUGCAAUUCAGAAAAUGUUUUUUUGACUUAGAGGGAUGUGUGGGUGGGGAAGGAGUACUGGUUUCAUCAUUUCAAAGUCAUAAGGUUUCACAUCAAUACUAGAUUUUUCUCUCAUCAGCUAUACUCACUGUAUUUGUUCAGCUUUUUUUUUAUUUUUUGCUGAUAUGUAAAAACACCUGUUGCUUGGAGGUGUUUUGGUCAUUUGCAUUUUGGAAGCAUUUGGCAUCCCCUUCUUUGCUCUGUUUGCCAUGUAAUUUUAGAGUAUCUCUAUACAAAUGAGUGCUCUCAGAAACCAUGAGGUUUCUUUGAGAUUCUCACAAAUCAUGUUACCACAUGAAUAAGAUGCUCUUUCUGAGAUAGUAACUCCUGCUAUGAAUUUGGACUUCUGGGAUAAUUACUAAGUACUUGCAUGUGCUGGGAUAUACACCUGCAAGUGAAAAUCCUGGGAUUUGCACCUUUCACAGGCAGAAAAUCCACUUACAUCGUCUUCUCCUUUGCCCGUAUCCUGAUUUUGUCCUCUAGUGAGGCUGCUCAGAAAACAACCCUUCUCUCUACAAGCUGUUGAGUCAUCUGGCAACAAGGAGACAUGACAGAGGUGGUUCUCAUGCAGGAGAGUUUUCUGUGCAACAUAACGGUGGUGGCUUGGGGAGCUGUGCAUUAGGGGAGCAUCACUACCAUUUGCCCCUGACUCCAGCUGACUUAACAUUCAUUUACCCUUUUCCAUAAAAGAAGGUGGCAAGGGAAUCCUCCUCAGAAGGGCAAAAAAGCUAUUUUAGAUGACCAGACAAUAAAAUGGAAAUGGAAUGAUGGACAGUGUGAUCAGUUCCCUGUAGUGUGAAUUUAUUAUCAAAAUCUAAGAUUUUAAGAUAACAUUGAAUAAGCUAGUUCAUAAAUAAAAUCAGUUAAGCGAGACUGACUAGCUGUUAUGCGGUUCUGCAGAAGGAUCUGGAUACUUCUGUUUUCUCUUGAUUUUCUUGGUCCAGGGCCUUCCCUGUCUUUUUAUUUGUAUUUUUUUAAAUUGUGUUCUCCCACUGCUACAACUCAGAUUUUUUAGACUUCUAAUUGACAUGCAACUUUCUUUGUCCAAUUGCAGGCUCUGUCAUAUCCAUGACAGCGCUAGCUUUUGUUUCUCAUUUAUUGUGGUUUUGUCACUAGUUUUUCCUUCUUUCUGCUCUCCUGAGGUCUAUCCAGCUGCCUCACUCUUGUUUCCAUAGGUGCUGAGUGAGAAUGACUGUGGAUCCUGCAUUCUUCAAGUCAGAGUUGCCCUUUCUCCCUUGGUUUGUGUUUGGCAGCUAUCUGGCUGUCUUGGGCCCACAUCCCAGAAUUGUGAGUUUCUAUAUGCAUAUGUAGAUAUAAAUUCAGGCAUUUAAGGGAUACCAAAAUUUAUUUGGCUGUUGUAUUUUGAGCAGAGGAGACUCAUGGUAGUUGAGGAGAUGAGGGAUUGCAGGAACGUGGUUGCCUUUAUUGGUUCCAGGCUCACUUGUCCCCUCCAUCUCCCUCCCAACUGUGUAAGUGUGAGUCUUUAGUAGCAUUUGUGUCCCCCCCCUUCAGAUGGAGCAGUUGGCACGUACACCUGUUAUUAAGUACCAAAUAGUGGUACUAUCCUUAUUUGAAGUUUACUAUAUUAUGUGGAAGAAUUUACUAUAUUAUGUGGAAGAAUUUUCUGUUCAAUUAGACUCUAAAUAAGACACCAAGCUAGCAUUAUUCUAUUCUAUUCUAUUCUAUUCUAUUCUAUUCUAUUCUAUUCUAUUCUAUUCUAUUCUAUUCUAUUCUUCUGAUGUCAGUCAAUCAACUGAGGACUCUAUAUAUGUAAGUAAUGAUUAUAUACUAUAUCAUGCAUGUUAGAAAUUUUUGACAUAUACUAUAUAUAUACUAAACAUGUGUGAUAUCUGAUACUGCAUGUAUGUGUUGCUAUAUGCAUCAGAUAUUACCCUAUUUGUUGGUUUGACCCAUAUCUAUUUACACUACAAAGAAAGGGAAUUUUUAGUAUUGGAUACUCUCGGAGCAUUUCCACUUGGAUUUGAGGCCAUGACCAACACCUGACUGGAGCAUUUCAGUUUCUUACUCAGGCAGAUAUGCUGCUUUAUGUUAUGCGAUUCUCUCUACCACCUCCCAGGGCUUCCAGGGGAUCAUCUCACAUGCAGCUCUAAUUGCAUAUUUGUUCCAUUUGGAGGGUUCUUAGUUUCCUAUGUUUUCUUUCCAUGGUUAUCUGAUUUUGGAAACCAAUUUCUAAUUCUCAGCCCUCCUGCUUGCCCCUCUCCCACCCCUUUUUUAAAAAUUAAAUUAUAGUUUUAAACUCUACGAUGAUUAGAAAUGAAAAAUACUUUUUUCUUUGAUUCCUCCUCUCCUUUUCAUCUCAUCCCUUCUCCUCUUCACCAUUCUUACUGUGUAGUUCCUUGUUUUCUGAAAGGAAUUAGGCCAAAUACUAAUGUGCGCUCUAUGUAAUUUAUGUAUGCAUGUUACAAAUUAUAUUUUCUUUCAGCAAUUAAUAUUUUUCCUUUUUUUUUUUUUUUUCUUUCAUAAAGAUCAAGAAAUAGUGAUUAAAUUAAAGGAGAGAAACAAUAUUUAACAAUGCUGGAGGCUGAUCUUGUACUCUGAAACACUAUAAAGGAUGAUUUAAAGGAAGCAUGAUAUAGAAGAAAAAAAACUUUCUAUAGAGAGGUAGAGCAAAGUUGCAGUAGUUUGGGAUGUGGAAUAUAUUCACAAGUUGAACAGUGAAUUGCUGGAGUUGUUUUUAAAGUUUUUGUGACGAGGCAGGGUUGGGUGUGUCAUGGAGAAAACAAAUACUUUCAGCUUAGACUCCUCCAAAAUGUGUGAAGCCAAUUAUAUGUGAAAAGGUAAUAACAGUAAGAAAGAAAACGUGAGAACACAUUGCUGGUGUGUCUGUUAUGCUAGAGAAGCAAAAGUUUUCUGUUUAAUGACAGGCCUUGUCACUUCAAACAAAAGGGUGUGGCUGAUUAAAACUCUGAAGAUGUUUUACUUGUUUAGUCACAACUAUUCCAUAUUACCAUUUUAAAAACUUUUGAAAAAGUUCUUACAGGAACCAUUUUCAAAGCACUAAGGAUCUCAUAAUGUGUUCACUGAAGUCAAUGUUCAAGCUCCUUGAGGAUUAGGAAUAGGCUUAAAACCAAAACCAAACCCAAAACAACCGUGAAAAAAAUCAGAUUUUCUUUCUAGAGCCAUUAUUAGACUGUUUCAUUGUUUAUUUUAUAAAAAUUGAUCCAGUCACAAUAUAAUGCACACAAUUACUUUGUCAGAUUGUGUGAGAGCUUGGCUAAUAUUUACUAAUUUGGUUUUAUACUUUAUUUUUUAUAAUCUAGGAAAGUCACUUGAAGUACUUUAAGAUGGAAUGGCAAUUUUAUCUAUACUUGUACAUUUUUUUUGAACUAUUAAAAAAAGUUGGCAUCUAAAUAUUCUGUUUCCAUCUUAUUUUUGCAUAAUAUUACAUAUGGCAAAAACCUCAUGAGUUUAGUCUAAUUUAAA